rnacentral:misc_RNA from 1 species
CGCACAUUGCGCCCGCCGGCAUUCCGGCGGGCAUGCCUGUUCGAGCGUCAUUUCGACCCUCACCCCCCUAACGGCGGGUGGCGUUGGGGCGUCCGCGUUACUGCGGAGGCCCUCAAGUCCAAAGGCGGUCCCGCGGGGUCCCCGAGCGCAGUAAAAUUAUUAUUCGUUCGGCGGUCCCGGCGGCGUCUUGCCCCUAAACCACCUUCUAAGGUUGACCUCGGAUCAGGUAGGAAUACCCGCUGAACUUAA